rnacentral:snRNA from 1 species
GUGCUUGCUUCUGCAGCACAUAUACUAAAAACUGGGAUGAUACAGAGAAGAUUAGCAAGGCCCCUGUGUAAGGAUGACACACAAUUUGUAAAGCAUUCCAUAUUUUU